AGUCCUCGAGGGCGCGCGGCCCGUGGGGAACAGCAGCCGUGACUUCGGGGAGCAGUGGUGGCCGUGUGGCUGGUCCAGCCUGGAGGACACGUGCUGAGCUCCGAGGACCAGCCAGCGCCCUUUGGGCUUGGCUACUGCAGUGAAGAGGACCGCCAUGGCCCGGCUUCACGGAGCUGAUGUCCUCGUGUGGGGACGCAGAGGGUAACCAAGGAAACAGGCACCGUGGGAAAGCUCGGCUCCAGGGCGCUUCAGGACCACGGACAGGUCCCGUCCAGCGCGCAGGCCCGGACUCGGCUGCUGCUAGGAUUUCUGACCAACACGUGAAUUGUGCCCAUUCUUGAUCUUCACCCAAAGCGAGUGAUAUGCUGUGUAAUGGUCUCAGGUCUCAGCUCCUUGCUCGUAGGCUUAUGGAUGGCGGCAGCUGCAGUCCAUGGCAGGAUCCCUCAUGACGGGGACUGAUGGGGACACAGUGGAAAUGUCACGUGGGUGUGUGCCCAGAAGAAGACUGCACAUCGUGGUCCCAGCUGUCCUGAACUCACCCCAGGGGUGGGAGCGGUGAGCUGGGCUUGGGGCCCUGGCCCACCCAGGCUCCUUCCUCGGCUGGAACAGGGAGCAUACUGGAAGCAGCACAGCAGCGGUUUGCUUUCGAAUGGCAGGACCCAGAAACACAGGUGGUCCAACAGUACUGUUGGACAGUCCUGCCUCAAGGACUGUCCCUUCCUUGUUUGGGGAAAUGCUGGCCGGGGACCUCAGAAACUUCACACUGAAUGAAGGACUCUUACUCCAGUAUGUGGACGAUUUGCUCAUAGCAAGCCCUUCGUAGAACAAGUGUCUACAAAACACCUCCGGAAUCCUGCACCAUGUGGACACUUGUGGAUAUGAGGUCUACCAGCAAAGGCCACGUGUGAAGUCAUGUAGCUGGGUUUUGUCCUUUCCAAGGUCAGUGGGGUCCUUUGCCUGAGAGACAAAACAGGCAACUGCAGUUCAGCAGAAACAAAUCCGACUAGUUUCCAUGAGGACGCAGGUCUGAUGCCUGGCCUCACUCAGUGGGUUAAGGAUCCGGCUUGCCGUGAGUAGAAGGCAUGGCUCAGGUCUGGUGUUGCUGUGGCUGUGGUGUAGGCUGGCGGCUCACACAGCUCCGAUUUGACCCCUAGCCUGGGAAGCUCCACGCGCCGCAGACAUGGCCCUAAAAAGACAAAAAGCAGCAGUCCAUAAGCCCUCACGAGUAGCCGUAAUGCAUUGCCCAGGCCACCAAAGGGUGAAACUCACGUAAUAAAAGGCAACCGGACAGCUGACCAAGUGGCAAAGCAGCAAAAGAAGGGGAUUAUCAAGCUGUGACAGGGUCACUUCUCCCAGAGUGACUUGGUGAAAUACCACCUGUGUAUUCAGAAAAGGAGAGAGGGGCUCACACUUGCCCACACCUCAACUAGCUGGAAAGGCAGUGUGCAGGCACCUGCUUUGAUCCCAGAGGCCCUCAUGGACCGUGCACUGCAGCACAUUCGCAAUAGAGCCCAUCACAGGCCAGACGAUGCCUCACGAUGGGUUCAGAAGUACACAGUGGGGCCGAACCCACAAAGGACAUCCAGCGCGUCCCAGAGUCGGUGACUUAAGCUAAAAGUAACCUGAAGACUGCAGCCCUGCACAGAUGGGGGCCCAAUGAAGAAACCUGCCCUGCUGAGGAUGGCAAACAGGCUUUACUUGAGUGCCUGGAGCCGCAGGAAAUUUCAGAUACCUGCCAGGGGUGGUGGAUACUCGAUACUUUCUCAGGACGGGUGGAGGCACAUCCCGCUCAGACAGAAAAGCCCCCAAAGUGGUUAAAGUCCUCCCUAAGGAAAUUAUGCCCUGGUGUGGACUAUCGAACUCCCUUCAAAGUGGUAACAGGCCCGCCUCUGUCCUGAGUAAAACUCAACAGGUGUCUAAAGCCCCGCCAACUGGAAGCUCCAUUCACCGUGGAGUCCCCCACCAACUGCAAAGACAGCGAAAACGAAUCAUGUGUUAAAGAGGCACCUUGUUAAAAUGUGUCCGAAGACUAACUUCACUUGGGAUGAGGCCUGGCUGGUUGCCCUGCUCCGGGUCCGGGUCCGAGUGGCUCCCAGAGGCAGGCUUAAAGGAAGCCCCUUUGAAACGCGGAACGGUGGGCCAUUCCAGGUGUCUGCCGGCGGGGACUCUGCAUGUCCCCAAGCAUCUAACCACUGCUAAUGAUGUCAAAACUGGGCACUGUUCUGACCCCUGAUCAUGAGCUUGCUUCCAAGAGGUCUGCCUAUCAGCUGAGGGGACCUCCCAUCCUUUCCGACCUGGAGACCUUGAAAGUUCUCCAGGUCGGAAAGGGGCCUUGAAAGUUCACUGCAGAAGGUUCACGCAGCUGUAGGUAGGGAAGGAGACUGUAUUACUCAUUAAAACGUUAAAGGCUAACCGGCCCCAGGCCUAUCCACUCCAUUCCGCAAUCCCUCCCUCGGAGCCNNNNNNNNNNNNNNGAGCCUGUUUCGGCAGGAAGGAGCCAGAACGACCGCCACCCCCUUUCCCCACAAGACUGUGGGGGCGGAAUUCUAUCGGGUGGGGGGCAUGCGGCCCUCAGCGGUCUUGCUCUGUCAACCGUGGGUGUCGCAGUGGUCCCCGUGGCUGCAGUCUCCCUGGGUCGCAAUCCCCAUGACCUGGCCCGUUUGCUGGCUCACGCCGGCAGUCACCGAGUUUGCAGUAACCCAUCACGCACCCCUCCUUCCUGAAUAAAAGCCUGAAUCCUGCCUGGAGAAGAGGGUGCUUCGAGACACUCGUCUGCCACCUUCUGAGUUCCAGCAGCUCACCUCCUGAUUAACCAGGCUGCUGGGUGGGAACAGAGCAAGCCUGGAAGUGGCAUCAGACACCACCUUCAAACAAAGCCCAGCUUCUCGGAGCCACUGUCAGCUGGGCGCGGACUCCAGGGUCAGCCUCCACCACCAGCUGCGCCACGCUGGGAUGUUCUGCGAUUUAGCUCAUGAACACAACGCACCCCUUCCCAGACCUGGGAGGCACCGUCCGUCUGGAAACACCCCUUGCCCAGCCAUGUGACUGGGUCAUCUGCGAAGAACCAAAUGGAAGACGGUGUGGGCAAAGCGUGCAGGGCGAACUGCUGUGCCAGUAAGAGCUGACGAGGGAAGUCUGUGGAGGAGCCCAGGGGAGAGCUGGGUGAGGGAAACGAACCCGAGGCAUCCCGGAGGCCCGCCGCUCUGCGCCCACGGGAACGCCGGUGGCUCUGACACUCACAGCGUCCGAAGAACAGACACGGACCCCAGGGGUCCCAACGAGGGUGCUGCCUCGCAGCCGGGGCGUCCCGGCGGUGGCAGUGCUGAUGCUCCAUCAUUCGGACGCGACUCUCCGAACUGCGGCUGCUGGACCUUCCAGGGUGAUGCGGCUUCUAGGAAGCUCCACGCGCUGC
ensembl:lncRNA